rnacentral:misc_RNA from 1 species
ACAAUAAAGGUUAUUAUUAAGUCAUUUUUUGUUGGUGCAAAGUAAUAGUUUUAGGGAGCGUUUCGUGUGUGUUCGAAUGUAAAACAAUAAGCGAUGUUUUAAAUUUAGGUGGAUAAACAAUGUGAAGGCCAAAUGGCUCGGAAGGGGCCAUGAUAGUUGACCGAGAGUCGUUAAGUGAAAUGACCACGUUGACCAGUGUCGAGAAAAAGAUGGAGACGGCGUGGAGUCAGCCCUUCGUUUCGCGAAGUUGAGUGAAUCGUCAUUAGCCAUGCCAAAUUAUCUCCAUCAACUGGGCGAAGGAUCAAAAUAUUGGUGUCGCAGUAUUCCUGGACGGACAAGGAUUGUCGAGCUGGCCAGCCACAGCAGCGCGUUAUGGUAGAUAUCAUUGGGAUUCGUCAUCACCUGUAUACGCCGAAUGUUGAAGGGAUCGCGAGAUUCGUCCUUAAAUGAGGAUGUUCUACUUUUAGAUCGAGUCAACACUGGUCGUCUCAGCAUUUUUCAUAGGCCUAAGAACAACAGGAGAAUCCAUCAUUAAACCUAUCAAUUCGCCCGUGUGGAAGGAGCAGUCCACAGCUCAUCGCUGCAACGAAGAUUGAGAGCAUCUCGUAAAACUGUAGGAAAAAAAAACUACAUCAAAAAGAACGGAGAAGACAUGGCGAUCAAUAUAAGAGCUUACUCGAGAGAUUCGGACACUAGCGUCGGAAAUGCCAUCAUUCAACAGCAUCACGCACCGCCAGGAGCCCUAAGAGGAUUGCCAUCUUCCCGGGAGUUUGGUGGCGCCAUUGGUCCCCUUCAUCAUCCGACAGGGCAGCCGGCGGGUAGAGGCAACCGAGGCAACAACCGGAGCGACGUUUCCAUUCAAGUGGACGUUGGAUCAUCGAAAACAGCCAAUAGCGAUCGAAUGGGUCGUACAACAAAGAAUCAAAAAGUUGGCGCUGGAAAAGCGGAGCAAUAUGAAACGGCCCUUUAUUCAAGAGAAGACAUCCGCGAACAGUAUUGCAUCAACAAAAAAGAAACGGAUGUGCUGGAUCGUUCGUCUCACGUGCGCCAAAGAGCUAAAGGAUUCUUCGGAUGCCUAACAAGUCGCAAGGAUCAUGGCGCCAAAAAGAAAAAAUCAAGAUCUUCCUUCUUUUCUGCGUUGUGCGUCCGACGGGCGAGCGAAGAAAAUUUGUACAACGGCUGCAACAAACCCGUAGCCAAUACAAAUCGGAGCGUCACUCUACCUGCACUUCAGCCGUUCACGGUUCCUCUACGCGAUGAUGGCUCUAAUCAACCAGGCUUGUUUCGGAAUCGUCCUCAAUCAUUCUGUACAACUGACCCACGCAGAUUCUCCAUGCAAACCUCAACUGCUCCUUGCAUUGUGAAUAGCUACGCACCUCGCCAUUCAGAUCCAGAUUGGAAAAUUAGCACGUUGCCCAUUCAUCGGACAAACAGUGAUGCUCCAAAUGAAAGUGAAAAUUACGGAGGUAACCAUCCGUUCCGGUAUGGUGGCAGGUUGGCCUACACUCAACCAAACACACCUGAACUUUCGGCUGCACUUUACCGGAGGCAGGUCAUGUCCAGCGAGGCGCUUUUAGAUGACAGAAGAUCUACCGGUUCGAUUUCGAAACAUGUCAGUUUCGAUGCUUCGUCUCCUUGUUCUGAGAUUUACACGUCAGCCGUUCCAGCAAAUGCUUCCAAGAGCCAGGAACGGCUUCUAGACGGUCGUAAAACUCCGGAACCAUUUAUCGAAUCCAAAAGACAUCCACAUCAGACAGCUGCAUUUUCUCCCGUAUUGGCUCGCGCCAUACUUUUAGAGAGAUUGCGCCAAGCGUCGAUGCGGAGCCAGGCCACGCAAACGGAAGGUUAUUAUAAUUCGACGACGUCACUCUCCUACCCCAGUUGCUAUAGUGGCGCCGGAUCGCAAGUCUCGAUUCCGGGGGCAGUCAGUACAGUCACGCGUCAAGUUCAGACCAACUUUGAACCGCGUUCAGCUAAAGAAAUGAAACGUUUAACAAGGAGCUCAUCAGCUGUGGAUCAGGAGGCUGAGGGAGAGAGAGAAUCUCAGAAAACAGAGGUCGAAUUCCAGCCUUUAAAACGUUUACCGGAUGAACUUAGUCAGUCUCAACCGGAAGAAAUAGGAGAAUAUAACAAGACUGCAUCACCUGACCGGGGGUCGCCUAGCAGCGGCAAACAUGUGCGCUCCAGCAGACGGCGGCAGUUAUUGAAAGCUUUAUCAGAAGGAACGAUCCUGCUGGAUCGGAAACGUGCCCGACGUUUUGCUUCCGGCUAUGUUGAAGUUAAUGUGCACGACAACGAACGUUCGCCCGUCGAAGAGGUGGCUGGCAGAGUCCUGGUUCACGAUCCGAUGCGUCAUGGAAUCGGUUCCAGCGACGAUGGAAGUCUCGACGAUGAGGAUCUUUUUGCUUCGUCGCUUCCGCUGAAAGGAAAAGCCACAACUUCCUCGCAAGAUAUCAACCGCUCGUUGGGUUUCACUGACGUGGAAGACGUUUGGUCUGACUCGGAGCAUCCGCCAGAUGGGCAAACGGAAGAUGUCAAGUCAACGUCUUUGCUGCAGGCGCAAAAAUCGUUCGACUCUAACGCUUCGUUUCCGGAUACGGCCGGUAACUAUAGCGACGAGUUUGGAAGUACGUCGCAAGUUACGGUCCUCCAGCCGCAUUCAUCCUGCCAAAGUGUCGGAACGGCCAAGGAUGAAAAAGGAAAUAGUUCGUUCGUCGUCACUUGCGAUUCGGAUUUGGAUGCACCGCGUCCGCCUACGCCACCACCUAGACGUCCACCAGCUGCAAGCGAUCCAGCAGCCACCGAAACAUUAGAAAUGGAGAAUGAAAUUAUGGUCCAGUUUCCUCCGUGGCCAGGAGCUCAUGAUACUGAAGUAAUUCCGGCACCACCCAGUUUUGCUUGUUCUUCCGCCAAUUCGUCUCUUCAUCCGGAAGACGAUGAUUUAAAAUCGCCUGCUCCUCCACCCCAAGACGUUGAAUUGUCAAACAAUCAAAUGAGUCAACGCGUUUUAUUGCGCCAUCUGAAGAACGGAUCGAAAAGUAUGUCGGAGACGAUUACGUCAGUCGAUUCGGAUUCUUCCGGCCGUCGAGUGACGGAACAUGAAACGUCGGCCAGUUCUGAACCUCUCAGUCCUCCUGGCAGUGAGCUCAAUAGUCCUUUACAAGCGGAUAUCAACAGCAAACCGGCUGGAUUGGAUUCCACCGAUACCAAUUCGGAUGCGUUUCUGACUGCCCUUUCCGAUCACUUGACGACGGCCGGAUUGACUGAAGUCUACAACACUGCGAUGGAACGCAGCGAAAGGAGCUUCAGAGAAAGUGAUACUUCACAUAACAGCACUUUAAGGAUGGAUCAUUCCGGCGUCCAAGAGUUACCCUACGAAUCUCCUCCACCUCAAGAUGUCCUUCACGAUGAUGGGCCGCCUCCCUUGCUGACGUCACCGGAUUCAAACAACGAUGGACCAGACAUUUGCCGAGAAAGUUCCACGUCCGGAAGCUAUAGCCUAGAAGCUACUCCUUGUGCGUCACUUAGUCCCAUCGCUGUUCAACCGAUCGAAAUGGCUGGCCUCGCAGCUGUAAUGGAUUCAACAAAACAAUCUCUAACUUUGAAUCCGGAAUCUGUAGUAAAUUCUACUCUAGAUUGUGCCCCGUCAAGCACUCAGGCGGAGGCUGUUGCCAAGGCAACCGAUCGGAAAACUUUGAAGGAGACAAUGAAGUUGCAAUUUCCGCCAGGGUCCAGCAUGUUUUCAUCAACGGCUUCGCCUUCCACUCCGGCCAAAUCAGGUGCCAGCGGAAGACGUAAACAUUUUACGCAGCAGCAAUCGACCAAUCAGCACAGUUCGACGGAUUCGGAAGACAAUGAAGAAGCCGGAGAUCGUUGCAGCCGGAAGCGGAGGUCAAACAAAAACAGCGCCGCACCAGAGUCCGCACCCGAUUCAGUCAAACGUCCGUCAUCCAAGCACAAGAAAACGCGCAAUCGAGAUCCACUCACUCCCAACAAUUCAUUUUCCAAUCCGGAUGGAAGCGGAGGAGCCAAGAAACGCGAUUCUCAAAUUGUAGCGGAAGUUACGACACCCGGAAUGGUUCGCAGUCCAGCUAUGCACGAAGGCUUCCGGUUGACGGAUUGGGACGUUGUCGCACCGCAAAUUUCGCCGCUUCCAAACACGGAAUCAUCCGACGAUCACAAUUAUUUCACUCUACAACAUCCGAGCGAGUCUUCCUUUCACGAUCCGGACAAUAUGGCAGAUAUGGUGGGAAAAUCGUGGAACUUGAUGGCACCAUCUCCAUCGCGCAAACAAAAUUGCGAUUCCAUUAGAUCCGUCAGUCCCGGAAGCGACAAUGUUUUCGUUUCGGAAACACCAGCUGAGAUGUCUGGCAACGGUGGCGUACCACCGCCACCGGAAGGUUUUGCUGAUUCACCGGCCUUUGCGGCACCUGACUGGAAUUUAACUUGUAAUAUCAAGACGCAAUCCGCUGGCAGUCAAGCGGAAUCGAUCAGCUGUGACAAUCAAGAGAAUAGCAAAAGGAAGCGAGAAUCCGGCCGUGGCAAACGGACCAAAAGUUGUACAUUACCGGCGGGCAAUUUAAGCGCUUCGGCCUUGUCAGCAGAAACUACUGAAUCGUCUGACAAUCAAGUCCCUCACAGGGCGGUUUCUACCAUCGAUAUGUGGUAUCCGGAGACUCAACUGCCGCCCAAAAGGCAAUUGACUGUGCGUGCCAAAUCGGAAGAAAAGGAACGUUUUAAUCGACCUGUUAGACGGAACUUGAAUCAAUUAAUCAGAUCCGUUGAAGCCAGCUGGGAUUCACUCGGUUCUAAAUUGAGUUGCGACGGAACGCCUUUAGAUGAUGAAGAUGCCGGCAUUUACAAUGCCAGUUAUCGUGCUGGUGCCUGGGCCUACAUUGGUGAAACGGAAGAGCUUCAUGUCUGGCGCCGUUCCCAACCGCAGACGCCGUUACAAGAAACCGACGAUUCGUCGACGGCUUCUGAAAAAGACUUCCGGCGUAAAUACACAUCCAUCACGCACCGCAUGGUCCACCGCAAGUCCAGUGUGGAAAUGUUUCGUCGGCUCGCCACUAGCACAUUCGAUUCAACCACCGACUCAAGUGUCAGACACUCUUUAGAAGAUAUUUUCCAGUUGAUGUUGAUGAUAUGGUGCCGCGAGAGUCUGGCACUGCGCAGACUAGCGGACAUUCGUCCAGGCGAGUGCGAUAAUGUCGUCUUGGUCAAGAGAGAAUCGGGCGAGUUUGGAUUCAGAAUUCACGGUUCAAAGCCGGUUGUUGUGUCAGCUAUUGAGCCUGGAACUCCAGCUGAGUUGAGUGGAUUGCAGGUGGGCGAUAUCCUCAUUAGUAUCAACGAUGUCAACGUCCUCGAUUCUUCUCAUUCGGAGGUGGUCCGCAUCGCUCAUACAGGCACAGAUGAGCUGAAGCUUGAGGUGGCAAGAACAUGCAACAUCCUGUCAACGAACCCCAUUUUGGCUCCAGACCAGUCAACAACAACUGAUGGUUCCCAGGGAGGCAGCACCACUGACAACGAGUCUCCAAUUUUGGUGGGCUACCUCUGGAAGAAGAGCCAGUCAGCCAGUCGUAUUGAUGAAUCUGCCAACAAUGUUUGGUACAGGAGGUGGUUUGUCCUCAAGAGAGACCACUGUCUCUACUACUACAAAAACCAAGAUAGUUCGCAGCCAUUGGGAGCCGUUUCUCUUUUGCAUUACACGGUGACUCGUACUUCGUUUGCCGAACGACCUCACGGUUUACUGUUGAGCAAAGGUGGAACUAUACGACAUUGGCUGGCAGCCGAAUCGACGGAAUCGGUUGAACUGUGGCAUUCCGUCUUCAAUCACGCUUCUAAAGCCGCCGUCCAGCAGGACGUUUGGCUUGAAAUGUGCGCUCGAAACAUUGAAUUGCCGCCGGCGUCGAUGGCAUCACCCGACUGCGUCGGCCAUCUCAUGAAGCUCGGCCACCGGGCCAAAGAAUGGCAGCGUCGCCUCUGCCUUCUCAAAGACGCCUGUCUCUAUUUCUACGUUGAUAUCAACGUCUCUUCUGCCCUGGGAGCGUUGCACUUGCACGGUUACCGCGUCCAAGCCUCAGGCACGACCGCCUCGAGCGGUGAACGACGCAAAUUCGCCUUCGAACUCUUGCCGCCGGAACCUCGCAUGCGCCAUUUUCAUUUUUACACAGACUCGGAGAACGAUCGCAAACGGUGGAUUGCCGCGUUAGAGUAUUCGAUCGAUCGCUGGAUCAGAGUCGGCUAAGUCGUCAAGUUCUCGUCACUUCGUGAACCGACGAAGGAGAAAUACCAGCAACAACCAGAUGAAUAUAUAAAUAACUGCGUUGUUUCGUUACAUAUAGAACGGAAUUCAUUCAUUUUACAACUCCUCCUCCUCUUUCUAGACCUCUUUUGAUUUUUUUUUCCUCAUGCGUGUUAUUUCCUCCUCUUUUGUAAAACGCAAUAGCAACAAAAAAGACGUCGGCGUGCUUCGCUAUUUUCUCUCGCAACCGCAGACAAGAGCAACAACGAUCUGUGGGUUUUUUUGUUUUUCAUUCGACGAACUCCAGCCCAAAGAAACUCAACAAAGAGAUAAACAUUUUCUUUUUCAUUCUUUUAUUCGAGGUAAAUAAUGACGUUUUUUUUUUAUUAUUAUAAUUUUUAUUUUCAUGGAAUUAUCGACCUCCACCAGGUGUGUCAAUUUACAUAAAAGAUGGAAUUUUUUUUUUAUUAUUGUUUUUUAAAAGACGCGCACAUCAAAACUGUGUCAAACACAAAGAAAAAAAAACGGUUGUUUUGUUAGUUUAACUCUCUCUCUCCCCACCACAUUUCUUCUAUUUGUGUGUUUGAAUGUUUGAGCGUGAUUCCCAAAACAGCUCCCAAUCCCCCAAAACAAAAACAAACAAAAAAAAAUGUUAUUUAUAGCGAUGAUGAUUUCAUAAUCAUUCAGUCAAUGACUUGUGUGACAAUGAUGGACGGGAAAGAGAAUGAGAACAAAUAAAAUUGAAAUGAUUGAAGAAAAAAAAA